CCUACGGGUGGCAGCAGUGAGGAAUAUUGCUCAAUGGGCGAGAGCCUGAACCAGCCACGUCGCGUGAAUGAUGAAGUAUCUCUGUAUUGUAAGCUCUUUCAGUAUGGAAGUAAAGUGCGGUACCUGACCAAUAUUCUCCGUCUAACUUGGUUCCAGCAGCGGCGGUAAGAUGUAGGGGGCAAGCGUUAUCCGGAUUUACUGGGUGUAAAGGGAGCGUAGUCGGGAUGGCAAGUCUGGAGUGAAAGCCUGGGGCCCAACCAUAGGAUUGCUGUGGAAACCGGCAUGCUGGAGUUCUGGCGAGGUAAGCGGAAUUCGUGGUGUAGCGGUGAAAUGCGUAGAUAUUAGGAGGAACACCGAUGGCGAAGGCAGCUUACUAAACAGUAACUGACGUUGAGGCUCGAAAGCGUGGGGAGCAAACAGGAUUAGAUACCCGAGUAGUC
rnacentral:rRNA from 1 species